rnacentral:rRNA from 1 species
CCCUUAGAUGUCCUGGGCUGCACGCGCGCUACACUGAUGUGUCCAGUAAGCACCUAACCUAUUCCGAGAGGAGCGGGUAACCUUAGCAAAGCACAUCGUGAUGGGGAUAGGUUAUUGCAAUUAUUAGUCUUGAACGAGGAAUUCCUAGUAAGCACAAGUCAUCAGCUUGUGUUGAUUACGUCCCUGCCCUUUGUACACACCGCCCGUCGCUCCUACCGAUUGAAUGUUCCGGUGAGCUCUUCGGACUGCGCGGUCUGCAGUUUCUGCGUUCCGUGCGGAAAGUUGUGCAAACCUUAACAUUUAGAGGAAGGAGAAGUCGUAACA